rnacentral:rRNA from 1 species
GACGAACGCUGGCGGCGUGCCUAAUACAUGCAAGUAGAACGCUGAAGGAGGAGCUUGCUUCUCUGGAUGAGUUGCGAACGGGUGAGUAACGCGUAGGUAACCUGCCUGGUAGCGGGGGAUAACUAUUGGGAACGAUAGCUAAUACCGCAUAAUAGCAGUUGUUGCAUGACAACUGUUUGAAAGGUGCAAUUGCACCACUACCAGAUGGACCUGCGUUGUAUUAGCUAGUUGGUGGGGUAACGGCUCACCAAGGCGACGAUACAUAGCCGACCUGAGAGGGUGAUCGGCAACACUGGGACUGGGACACGGCCCAGAAUCCUACGAGAGGCAGCAGUAGGGAAUCUUCGGCAAUGGAAGGAAGUCUGACCGAGCAACGCCGCGUGAGUGAAGAAGGUUUUCGGAUCGUAAAGCUCUGUUGUAAGAGAAGAACGAGUGUGAGAGUGGAAAGUUCACACUGUGACGGUAUCUUACCAGAAAGGGACGGCUAACUACGUG